AUGUCUGAACUGGUCACUGAGGCAAGCUCUGGAGUACUCGGGCUUUCAGAGAAGAGUAUUCUUAUUGAUGAAAAUGGCAGUCAAAUUGGAGCUGAGACCAAGAAUUGUCACCUGAAUGAAAAUGCUGGGAAUGGAUUAUUGCAUCAAGCUCUUAGUGUCUUCUUACUCAACACCAAAAUGAGUUCCUGUGACAGCAGAGAUCAGAUGUUAAAAUUACCUACCCAGGAAGUUUCACCAAUACUUGUUUGUAGUCAUCCAUUAAGUAAUCCAGGCAAGCUUGAGAAAAAUGAUGUCAGCGGCCUAAGUUGAGUAGCACAGAGGGAUCUAAAAGCUGAAUUAGGAAUUCCCAUGGAAGAGGCUCCUCCAGAAGAAACCUAUUAUCUGACGCGAACUCGCAACCAAGUUCAAUCUGAUGGCAUCUGGGGUGAACAUUAAACUGAUGAUAUUUUGUUUGUGAGGAAGAACUUAACUUUGAAUUCAGAUCCCAGUGAGAGAAAAAGCUAGUUUCUGCAUGUCAAAGGAAGAGUUAGGACUUCUGAAAAAAGUAAUCAGUGGUGA